UACGUAGGGUGCAAGCGUUGUCCGGAAUUAUUGGGCGUAAAGAGCUCGUAGGCGGUCUGUCGCGUCGGCUGUGAAACCCGGAGCUCAACUCCGGGCCUGCAGUCGAUACGGGCAAACUGGAGUGUUGCAGGGGAGACUGGAAUUCCUGGUGUAGCGGUGAAAUGCGCAGAUAUCAGGAGGAACACCGGUGGCGAAGGCGGG
rnacentral:rRNA from 1 species